UACAGAGGUCUCAAGCGUUGUUCGGAUUCAUUGGGCGUAAAGGGUGCGUAGGUGGCGCUGUAAGUCAGGUGUGAAAUUUCGGAGCUUAACUCCGAAACUGCAUUUGAUACUGCGGUGCUCGAGGACUGGAGAGGAGACUGGAAUUUACGGUGUAGCAGUGGAAUGCGUAGAGAUCGUAUGGAAGACCAGUGGCGAAGGCGGGUCUCUGGACAGUUCCUGACACUGAGGCACGAAGGCCAGGGGAGCAAACGGG
rnacentral:rRNA from 1 species